GGGCCUGUGGCUCAGUGGAAGAGCCUCUGCUUUGCAUGCCGGUCCCAGGUUCAAUUCCUGGCUUCUCCA
rnacentral:tRNA from 1 species